AAUUUUGGACAAUGGGGGAAACCCUGAUCCAGCAAUGCCGCGUGCAGGAUGAAGGCCUUCGGGUUGUAAACUGCUUCUGUACGGAACAUAAAGUCUUGGGUUAAUACCCUCGGAUCCUCCCGGUACCGUAAGAAUAAGCACCGGCUCACUACGUGCCAGCAGCCGCGGUAAUAUGUAGGGUGCAAGCGUUAAUCGGAAUUACUGGGCGUAAAGCGUGCGCAGGCGGUUUUGUAAGACAGUGGUGAAAUCCCCGGGCUCAACCUGGGAACUGCCAUUGUGACUGCAAGGCUGGAGUGCGGCAGAGGGGGAUGGAAUUCCGCGUGUAGCAGUGAAAUGCGUAGAUAUGCGGAGGAACACCGAUGGCGAAGGCAAUCCCCUGGGCCUGCACUGACGCUCAUGCACGAAAGCGUGGGGAGCAAACAGG
rnacentral:rRNA from 1 species